GAAUACACCGGUAAUCUGAAUAAUCAGCUGAUCGAAGGAAAUGUUACUUACCAGUAGCGUGCAGGUCGAACGAAAGAGAUGCAGUUUUCUUUACUUGUUGCGUCGUUCGAAUGUGUCCUGUCUUUCGUUUGCGUCCUUCUGACUUUUUUCUUUCUUCCUGCACGUCAAUAGAAACCUCACUUGCUCGAACGAACAGUGUGCCACGCCGGCCAGACUUUCGAUGGAUCCGGUUAAAAAUAUAUACAGGGCGGGGCUCGACGGAGAUGCUCGAGCUUGCUCGACGAUUCUUCCUCCUUCUUGGCUUUCAAAGAAUCUGGAAAAUUCUGGGAUAUUUACGCUUAAGUAGCGUGGCGCGAUCAGAUCGCUGAUAAUAGCUCCAGGUUGCGGAUAUUUAUAAAGAUAAACAUUUUUGUGAAGAAAUGGAACCUAAGCAAAAAUUUUCUUCAUCUGCUAAAUAUUACAUCGAACUUUAGGUAUUUUAUACAUGUUUGAAUCUUUGAAAUUCGCAUAAGUAUGUAUUAUACAUAAAAAUUCGCAGCUCAUUCGUAAAUAAAGAACCGCGUAUUAAAGAAUUCGGCUAAUAAGUGAACAAUUUGUAUCGUAAGGAUAUCAAAGGCUAGCGACAAAUGUAACUUUGCUUUGAUGCAAAAGAGUGAAGAAUGUGGUAGAAGAUAUUAC
rnacentral:misc_RNA from 1 species